CCCAAGAGGAAACUGAAUUUAUCUUUGGACUUGAGACGACCAAGCCUUUGGCCAAGUUCUAAACAAACUGGGGAUUUCCUCAUAUAAAGAAGGCUCCAGACCCUUCCUUACUCUCCCCAGUAGUAGGAUUUCUCAAGGACUCAUCCAGAGAAGUCUGCCAGAAAAUCGUUUGAAAGCAAGGCUAUUCAAGGUACCGGGGAUUGAACUCGGGUCCUUGUGCUUGCGCAGUAGGCGGUGAAACCACUGAGCUAAAUCCCCAGAGUAAUAUUGGUUUUGAUCAAAAAUGACACUUGUACACCUCUGACAAGUUACCUGAAUUGUCUGAGCCUCAGUUUCUUCACUGGGAAACCAAUGCCUGGGUAAAAUUUCUGGAGGCUAAGAAGUAUGAAUACGACCAUCCACAACAGGAACUAUUUAGUUCUCACAAACAAAAGACCUUUUCCAUACUCAUCAAGAUACAAUAAAAUGUGUACUGGACAGUACUUCACAUGCAGCAGUAAAUAGCUUUCAAGAGAAGUUUCCUAUUUCUAUGUAAAGAUUCCAAACUGGAGGUAAUGAAGUAUACAAAUCCUUCAGAAACCAGACUAGAUGCACAUAUCAUCUGGUUAGUAAUCACAAGAGACUAAAUUAGACAAAAUGUUGUGAUCUUCAUCUU